rnacentral:rRNA from 1 species
AGAGUUUGAUCCUGGCUCAGAACGAACGUUAGCGGCGCGCCUAACACAUGCAAGUCGAACGCGACAGGGGCAACUCUGUUGAGUGGCGCACGGGUGAGUAACACGUAGGUAAUCUCCCCCCGAGUGGUGGAUAACCCUCCGAAAGGAGAGCUAAUACAGCAUAAGACCACGGAGUCGAAAGGCUCUGAGGUCAAAGCGGAGGAUCGUAAGACUUCGCGCUUGGGGAUGAGCCUGCGGCCCAUCAGGUAGUUGGCGGGGUAAUAGCCCACCAAGCCUUAGACGGGUAGCUGGUCUGAGAGGAUGAUCAGCCACACUGGAACUGAGACACGGUCCAGACUCCUACGGGAGGCAGCAGUAGGGAAUCUUGCGCAAUGGACGAAAGUCUGACGCAGCGACGCCGCGUGGGUGAUGAAGGCCUUCGGGUUGUAAAGCCCUGUGGGGAGGGACGAAUAAGUUGCAGCUAAUACCUGCAGCGAUGACGGUACCUCCUUAGCAAGCACCGGCUAACUCUGUGCCAGCAGCCGCGGUAAGACAGAGGGUGCAAACGUUGUUCGGAAUUACUGGGCGUAAAGCGCGUGUAGGCGGCUAUGCAAGUCGGAUGUGAAAGCCCCCGGCUCAACCGGGGAAGUGCACCCGAAACUGCAAAGCUAGAGUCUCGGAGAGGAUCGUGGAAUUCUCGGUGUAGAGGUGAAAUUCGUAGAUAUCGAGAGGAACACCGGUGGCGAAGGCGGCGAUCUGGACGAUGACUGACGCUGAGACGCGAAAGCGUGGGGAGCAAACNNGAUUAGAUACCCUAGUAGUCC